rnacentral:lncRNA from 1 species
GGACUUUUGUCUGCAGUGAGUGCGCAUGCGCCUCUCAGCUGGGAGACCGUGGGCGGAGGUGAUACAACCUGACUGAUGAUGGCUGACAAAAGAAGAAGAAAGUAGCUGAGAACCAGCAGCUGAAGAAAGCAAGAAAAUAUGAGUGAAGUCACAAAUGUCACCAAGGAAAGGAAGAACAGAAAAAUAACUUGAAUAUUCAAGAUGGGCAGCCUAGUUCAACGACACAUCAAGCCUUGUGAAAAGGUGACUCCGAGACAUGGAGGCACAUGCCUGUAGCCUCACCACACAGGCAGGUGGUGGUGAAUUCUACACUAACCUUGGCUACACAGUGACACACUGCCCCAAAACAGAAACAAAAAGCAAAAAGUUUCUCAGUGAACCUCAGAAAAGGUUCCUAAGGUAACAAAAGAAUCAAAAUAUGCCCUAGCUCACCCCAAAUGCCAAGAGCCUUGCUAUGUUUAGUAAGCACCUCCAUAAAAUGCUGUUUUCCCGGAAGAGAGCUGAGGCCAGAGAAGUUGCCAAGUGUCAAUCCUACCACAUCACGUUCCUACGUCUGCCCUGUCCUCCACUCGGCACCAGCGUUAACAAAGUGCAGCCAAUAAUUUCAUGACAUUUUUCUGUCAUUUGAUUCUUUGUUCCUUUGCUUUUAUUCAUUUUUGAGACAGAUUCAGAUGCUGCCCAAGCCAACCCGAGUUUACCAGGUUCCAGGAAUGACCUUGAAUUCCAGAUCCUUCUGCCCCCAUCAUCUGAGUGCUGGGUUACGGUUGGGUGGCUAUACCUGCCUCUCACCUGGGUCUUUGAAACAAAAGAGGGAAGAAAGAAAGAAGGAAAGAAAGAAAGAAAGAAAGAAAGAAAGAAAGAAAGAAAGAAAGAAGAAAAGAAAGAAAGAAGAAAGAAAGAAAGAAAGAAAGAAGAAAGAAAGAAAGAAAGAAGAAAGAAAGAAAGAAGAAAGAAGAAAGAAAGAAAGAAAGAAGAAAGAAAGAAAGAAAGAAAGAAAGAAAGAAGAAAAAAGGAAAGGAGAGAGAGAGAGAUUGAGAAUAUGAGAUCUUCAUUAACCAUAAAAGUCAGGGAUCGGGUAAAGCCUUGCAGCAUAAAUAACAUAAAUUCAAAAUAGUUGACAUUUCAUUCAGUCCACAAAAGAGCCUUGGCUGAACACUGAUAAUUUUACAUUUGAAUUUCUCAGGCGUAUCCAUUUCUAAGUACAGAGGUGAUCUGUGGUGUGGGCUGACAAGUUAUUCCGAUCUAUCUUCAGUGGGAAAACCAAGGUUUCACACCAAAAUGACAGCAUAAAGUCCCACACGUGUGGCUUCUAAGCUUAAAAAGCCUAAGAUGAAACUUCCCCUGAUCCUAUCAUCAAAAUAAACACUUACUAUAUUACCAAAUAUUACACAACUAAGAUCCAUCACUUCUGCUUUAAAUGCUUUGCCCUUUCCUGGGGUAUUUUAUUUGACAUGUGUCCAUGGUACAAAGACAAAUCCCUGUCUGCUUGAUAAGGUGUCAGAGCUCGCUUAGAGGUUAAGAAGGGGCCGUCGAGCUGUUUUUCUUCCACUGAGGGUUACAUGAGAGACUCGGUAGCGCUUGUUGAAAGAAUUUUACCUGUGGAUAAUAGCCCUUAUCUCACCGCUAUCUAUCAUGCUAUCGGUUUCUUUAUUACAGGAGUUUACCUUCGGGCAGCUCAUACACCAGCUGACAAUCUGUCCUCACCCCGAGACGGCAAGCCAAGCUCAGGUGUGUUACGGCUCCACCAGAAAAAGAUUAUUUGCCUUCUUUCCCUCGGUGAACAGCUGAAGCCAAAACGCAGCCCCUGGCACUCCAGCUGUACUCCGUCACAAGGCAGGGCCAGGAAGGUUCUAAUUCUUGCUUCCCAGAUCACACACUUUACAACUGAAGAGCGUCUCGGUUUUGCUCUUGAUCCUACUUUAACCUUUGCCAGCUCCUAGUCCUUUACUAAAGCAUUGAAAACUGUAAAAAGCCUCCUCAGUUCAAAUGCCCAUAAGCAGAGCCCCGAUCGAAUGGAAUGACAUCCCAUUAAACCAACUACUAGGCACUGAGAAAGGGAAAAAGAAAGGGGGCUGAGUGAGGGGGUCGAGAGGGAGGGACGUGGGAAUGCUUUUAAGUAACAAUGGGGAAUGAUUUUCAAGAUAUAUUGGGGGGAAUGGGAGAUGCGCAAAAUGGAGCAGUACCUUUUGUGUUUGAAAAGGUAGAAAAGCCUAAUGACUUCCAUACUCAUGUAGAGACCCUGAAGAUGACACUCAGAUCCACUAACAGGAGAACCGGGGUCCAACCGUGUAUCAAACCAGCAAGAUGACAGGCAUGCGAAAGAGGAUUCUCAUGACUGCCUUUCUCAUAUGUCUUAUUUUUGAACUAUAUAAAUAUGUAUAAAUAUAUUACCUAUUCAGAGAAAGGAAAAACAGUAGGAUGCUAAAAGAAUGGAGACAUAGACCAGAAAAUCUGGCCAUGGGCAAUGUAAGUUGAAAGAAUAUAUGUCAAUAAUUCAAAAAACUGAAAUUUUAGUUUUUAAAAUAUUUUUUUAGAUUGAUUUUAUGUUAUGUGAAUGAAUGCUUGCCUGCAUGUGUGCAUGUGCAUCAUGUGCAUGCUUGGUGCCCAAGGAAGUCAGGGGACGGUGGACCCUCUAGAACUGGAUGAUUACAAAUGAUUGUGAACCACCAUGUGGGCACCCAGGUUCUCUGCAAGAUCAACAAGUGCUCUCAACUGCUGAGCCGUAUCUCCAGACCUGGAGCAAAGCUGAGUAGAGCUUCCAGCUCUACCAACCCCUCAAGGGCUGCCUGGCCUGCGCACAUUAUUUGACCACCCAGUGCCUGCUCCACAAGAGUUGGGGGUAGGAUUGAGAAAGUUAGAACAAGGACAAGGAUACCACAAGAAGAUCUACAGAGUCAACUAACCUGGGUGCAUGGGGGAAGCUCUCAGAGACUAAAUGCCAACCAAAGAGCCUGCAGGGGCUGGGCCUAAGCCCCCUACACAUUUGUAGCAGAUGUGCAGCUUGGUCUUCAUGUGGGCUCCCUAACAAUUGCACCAAGGACUGUCUCAGUCUCUGUUCCCUGCCUUUGGAUCCCCUUUCCCUAGAUGGACUGCCUGGUCAGGCCUCAGUGGGAGAAGAUGUCCCAAGAUGGGUUAGCACCCAAGGGGGGCUUCCCCUUCUCCGAGGAGAAGAGGAGAGGAUAAUGGAGGAGGGGGUUGGGGGGGGGAGGGCUGGAAAGGAGAGGGGGCUGCUAACGAGAUAUAAAGUGAAUAAAUAGUUAAUGAAAACAAAUAAUGAAAUACAGUCUAAAAAUAAAUGUACAUUUCAGAUACUUUUUUUUUAAGUUUCAAGGGAGAACACCUCCCUCAGAAGAUGACCGUGAGGAUUAAAUUAGACACUCUCGCACGCGCACACACACAUACACAGAGAGAGGGAGAGAGGAAGAGAGAGAGAGGGGGGGGGGAGA